AGUGAAGCGGGAAGAGCUCAAAUUUGUAAUCUGGCACUUUCAGUGUCCGAGUUGUAAUCUCGAGAAGUAUUUUCCGCGCCGGACCGCAUACAAGUCUGUUGGAAUACAGCGUCAUAGUGGUGAGAACCCCGUAACUGAUGCGGAUGCCCGGUGCUUUGUGAUAUACUUUCGAAGAGUCGAGUUGUUUGGGAAUGCAGCUCAAAUUGGGUGGUAAAUUCCAUCUAAAGCUAAAUAUUGGAGCAAGACCGAUAGCGAACAAGUACCGUGAGGGAAAGAUGAAAAGCACUUUGGAAAGAGAGUUAACAGUACGUGAAAUUGUUGGAAGGGAAACGCUUGAAGUCAGACUUGCUAUUCGGAGUUCAGCCGCAAGGUGUAUUCUUCGAUUUGCAGGCCAGCAUCAGUUUUUGGGGGUGGAAAAUCGUGGUUUGAAGGUAGCAGUUUCGGCUGUGUUAUAGCUUUCCACUGGAUUCAUCUUCGGGGACUGAGGAACGCAGUACGCUUUUUGCAAGGCUUUCGAGCUUUUCGUACUUAGGAUGCUGGUGGAAUGGCUUUAAACGACCCGUCUUGA
rnacentral:rRNA from 1 species